UACGUAGGUGGCAAGCGUUGUCCGGAUUUAUUGGGCGUAAAGCGCGCGCAGGCGGUCCUUUAAGUCUGAUGUGAAAUCUUGCGGCUCAACCGCAAGCGGUCAUUGGAAACUGGGGGACUUGAGUACAGAAGAGGAAAGCGGAAUUCCACGUGUAGCGGUGAAAUGCGUAGAGAUGUGGAGGAACACCAGUGGCGAAGGCGGCUUUCUGGUCUGUAACUGACGCUGAGGCGCGAAAGCGUGGGGAGCAAACGGG
rnacentral:rRNA from 1 species